AUUGAACGCUGGCGGCAUGCCUUACACAUGCAAGUCGAACGGCAGCACGGGAGCAAUCCUGGUGGCGAGUGGCGAACGGGUGAGUAAAGUAUCGGAACGUGCCCAGUCGUGGGGGAUAACGUAGCGAAAGUUACGCUAAUACCGCAUACGAUCUAUGGAUGAAAGCGGGGGGUCGCAAGACCUCGCGCGAUUGGAGCGGCCGAUAUCAGAUUAGGUAGUUGGUGGGGUAAAGGCUAACCAAGCCGACGGUCUGUAGCUGGUCUGAGAGGACGACCAGCCACACUGGGACUGAGACACGGCCCAGACUCCUACGGGAGGCAGCAGUGGGGAAUUUUGGACAAUGGGCGAAAGCCUGAUCCAGCCAUGCCGCGUGCAGGAUGAAGGCCUUCGGGUUGUAAACUGCUUUUGUACGGAACGAAAAGGUUUGGCCUAAUAAGCUGAGCUCAUGACGGUACCGUAAGAAUAAGCACCGGCUAACUACGUGCCAGCAGCCGCGGUAA
rnacentral:rRNA from 1 species